rfam:Rattus norvegicus chromosome 3, whole genome shotgun sequence.
GGGGAUUUAGCUCAGUGGUAGAGCGCUUGCCUAGGAAGCGCAAGGCCCUGGGUUCGUUCCCAGCUCCG